rnacentral:misc_RNA from 1 species
AAAUGGAAAGUUGGUCAAGGUAAUUUGAUGCUGCAGGCUGCAGCUCUAUCUUGGCUUGAAAAAAAAUGUUUCCUUUUUGGAAAUCUAAGGCAAAUUUGUAGUCUAAGAGCAAGUGUCCUUGGUAGAAAAUAUAUGUAUGUAUUUUUUGGGAAAAUCAGUAGCAUAAAUCUAUAAUUCUGCUGAUUAUUUUCACUUAUUCUUUUCUUCUUUCUCUAUAGUUCUGCUGCAAUAGACCUAUAGUACACUGGGUACGAUCUGUAAGCCUUAAAUUUCUGCAAGCACUAUCUCUUUAUUUCUGAACUUAUUUCCUAUGUAUUUCAACUUUUCUCUUUCUCUUUUCUGCUGUGCCAGCUCUGUCCUUCAUAAUCACUUUGUUAGGGUCAUAAAACGUGAACAUUUUCUGACCACUUGAAGCUAAUUAAAAUUACAUCCACUGCCUCCAAAGUAACUAUUAAUUCCUUUUUUUUUUUCAAUGUCAUUUCUAGAAGUCUAGGGUGCAUGACAGUGAAAUUGAGGUGAAAAUGCUUGGCCAUUGUCGGUCACAGAUUUUCUGAAAGGUAUUAGCAGAAAAUAGUAAUGAAAAGUUGCGGAUAGAAAACUUUAAAAAUUUGGUUUAAAGAAUAGUGGUUAGCUACUGUGGACUCAGUAACACAUUCAUAAUGUGGAAAGGAUUUUCAAAGAGUGUUUUUGAGCCCAUGAAACUGGAAAAAUACUAUUAGAAAGAAUGUGUUAUAUGAUCAUAAGAUGAUCAUUUCAUCUUGUUGUUUUUGUGUGUUUGUUUUGACAAAUGAUAGGUAAAGCAUAAGUACAGGAUUG